rnacentral:lncRNA from 10 species
GUGAGACACACGGCUGUUUUUUUCCAUUCUUAAACAUAUCUAAGGCUGCAUGCAUUUCCCUCAGCAUUCAGAAAGGCUUUCUCAACUUUCUUUUUUUAUAUCUAAUCUUAGCUUUCUGAGCAUCCUCCUUGCAUAAUUUAUUGAGCACAGACUAUCUACUGGGUGAGUUCAUUGCAUAUUGCCUUUUUACUAUUCAUGGCAUCCUUUGAGUCACAUACAGUUGGAGGCAGCUGGAGAGGGAGGGGAAAAUAAGAAGAAAGGAAGUCGUCGGAAAAGAAGGGAAAGGCAGAGAUGAGGAAGACCUUCCCUUAUCUCCUGCCUUUGGGAACAAUAAGCUGACUUCUUGGUGUGUCCUGGUCCUUUUUACAACUGGAGCAGAUAGAGUGUUAUUGAAACUCAGAACUGCCACAUUUGGAAAAACUAAAUUCUACUUUUGUUUUUCCAGACUUCCCAGGCCAUAUUACAUCUUUCUGACCAGUUGGAUGCUAUAGGAAGUCAGCUCAGAUGCUUCUAGGAAACCUUAGGCUUUUGUGAGAAAAAGAAGGCAUGCAGCUGGUACUAGCCUCCCCUCUUCUUCCAGCAUUGGACAGUGCAUUCAUUUUCUAGGGCUGUCCUAACAAAUUACCACCCUCUGGUGGCUUAAAGCAAGAGGAUCUUAUUAUCUCAGAGUUCUGGAGGCUAGAAGUUUAAAACCAAGGUGUCAGUGGGGCCAUACUCCCUCCAAAGCCUCUAGGAGAGAAAUUUCCUUGCCUCUUCCAGCUCCUGGUGCUUCCUGGCUGAUAUGGUUUGGCUUUGUCCCCACUCAAAUCUCAUCUUGAAUUAUAGCUCCCAUAAUUCCCACGUGCUGUGGGAGGGACCAAGUGGGAGGUAACUGAAUCACAUGAACAGGUUUUUUCUGUGCUGGUCUUGUGAUAGUGAACAUGUCUCAUGAGAUCUGAUGGUUUUAUAAAGGGGAGUUCCCCUGCACUUGCUCUCCUGCUGCUGCCAUGUAAGACGUGACUUUGCUCCUCAUUCACCUUCUGCCAUAACUGUGAGGACUCCCUAGACAUGUGGAACUCAUCGAACACCCGGGGCUGGCUCAAUUCCUUUCUACACCUGCCAAGAAAAUCUAAGUGGAUAAUGAUGCUGACCAAUCAAUGGGCCGUGGGCAACACAGGAAAUCAGUGGGCCCGCAAAAAGCUGGGCACCACGUGUUACGGUUGGGAAAUGAAUCUUCAGUGACAGAGCCCACAGAGGAAAACACCCAAACCUGACCCUCCCUUUAACCUUGCGAGCGCUAUCACUCAGCCAGAUACCACCACUGUUUCCCGAGGACUAAGAGAGAUGGCUCUUUGCCUGGUGGAGCUGUGAGGAAGAUGAUGGGAAACGGGCAUGCUGGCAUCGGAGUUUUUCUGGAUUGGAAAAAGAGGAUUUUACUUUUCAGCACCUGCCAGCAUGAUAGGUUUGCCAAGAAUUCUACACUAAACAAACACACACGCCUACAUCACCCCUCCUCCCAAGCAGGCAUAACCCACUGGGGAAGGAAACAGCUCAGGAAGGCGGAUGGCAGGGGUUCGUGAACCUUGCUAGUUUCCAGGGCACGAUCCAUUUUAAUCUCCGCCAGAGGACUUAAAAAUCUAUUCUGUCAAUAUCUCCCUUAUUAGUAAAGUUUGGGUCCCAAAGCAAGAAAACUAAGGCUUAAUUUUGACUUAGAAGAUUGUUGUUGUUGUUUUAUUAUAAGUUUUGAUUAUGUAGUAUGUGUGUGUAUAUAUGUUAUUCACUACAUACAUAUUUAUGUAUUUUUAAUAUAUUUUAUAUUUUAAUAUAACAUAUAAUACAUAUUAUAUAUUAUAUAAUAUGUAAUUAUAUAUUAAAAUAUAUAAUUAUACAUAUAUUUUAAUACAUAAAGUAUAUUUUAAUGUAUAUAUAAAUUAUACACAUGUAUAUUCAAAUGUGUAUAUCAAUAUUUAUGUAUAUAUUUAGAUUUGAAAGCCUUGGGGGACAUGUAGGUCCAUAUCCUCUUGUAGAUAUCGUAGUGGGAUCCUGGCUUUUGGUUAUCGUCUCCCCCAAGUCUCCUAUUCCCUUUCCGUCCCAUUUUUUUCUUGCAAAGAACAAGCAAUGACUGAGGCUUUCAUAGCCAUUGUCACAGAAUAGGUCCUGUGGGGAGUUGAUUUGUAAAAAGUUCCUGGACCAAAAUAAAGGUGGUGACCAAAAUGAAGUCAUCUCUGCCACCUCCCAGUGGGUAUCGAUGUGGAAACGGUAACUUGAAUCUGAAGCUUCUUUGUGCCCAGCCCCACUGUGCUGAUGAGAGCAGACAGGGUGGGAGAGAAAGGGGCACACAGAGUGGACAUGUGGAUGCCGUUCCUCAAGCCCUUGAAGAAACCAAGAGUUGGCCGCAGCCCUGACCCAGAGUUCUGGGAGAUGGGUCCGUGGUAACCCCGCAAGGGAGAAGAGGGCAAGAAGGCCAGGAUUCCCAGGGCUCAUCCAGAACAGCCCAUCCGUCCAGAUGGGUAUCCUUGAUUCCAGUACCUUCCCUGCUCACACAUCUCUUUCAUCCAUUCAUUGUACCACUCUGAAGUGUAGAAUAUGCAAAAGAGAGAAUAAAAUCAUAUCAUCGCCACAUGUAGUUUGCUGUGUCAUGCUUAUCCUGGUGGAU